AUAUUUACCUGGCAGGGGAAACACCAAGAUCACAAAGGUGGUUUUCCCAGGGCAAGGUUCAUCCGUUGCACUCCAGAUGUGCUGACCCUGCGAUUUCUUCAUAUGUGGGGAACUGCCCUUAUACUCUCCCCAGCAAUAUAAAUAAAUAAGUAGGCUGGGCACAGUGGCCCAUGCCUGUA
rnacentral:snRNA from 10 species